rnacentral:rRNA from 1 species
AAGUGAGCUACAAUAUUCCCACAGAAUUAAAAACCAAACAAUAUUAUGGAAGGGCAAAUGAACACUUUGCCCACAAAUAGGAUUCAGAAGUAAUGGUCAACAGAAAAUGCCCAUGAACACAAAGCUCUAUAAUUCGC